UACGUAGGGUGCGAGCGUUGUUCCGGAUUUAUUGGGCGUAAAGAGCUCGUAGGCGGUUUGUCGCGUCGGCCGUGAAAUCUCCACGCUUAACGUGGAGCGUGCGGUCGAUACGGGCAGACUUGAGUUCGGUAGGGGGAGAGUGGAAUUCCUGGUGUAGCGGUGAAAUGCGCAGAUAUCAGGAAGAACACCCGUGGCGAAGGCGGCUCUCUGGGACGGUACUGACGCUGAGACGCGAAAAGCGUGGGGGAGCGAACAGG
rnacentral:rRNA from 1 species